GCUCCGACCUCCGACGGUCCGACCUCGCACUCCAACGCCACUCCGGACCCGUCGUCGUCCUGCGGUCCUGCUUGGCGCCUGCGGGUGCGGGAUCCCAACGCCCGUCGCCCGCCGGCCGCUGUCGCCCCCGGCUGCCCGCGGCAUCCCAAGGCCGCGUAACGGACUGAGGUGACUGGGAGCCGCCCUCCAGAGAAAUCACCGCCUUCACCCUGCGGGGAGCCGGUUGCAAGCUGAUACAGGAAAUUUACCUUUAUCUCUACCCCACCCUUUGUGAUUAUGGCACUAGCAGCUAUCUACAGCCUUUUCAUCAUUAAUAAGUCUGGUGGCCUUAUAUACUACAAGGACUAUUGUUCAGCAGGGAGGAUGGACACCAAUGACAGUCUUAGAUUGGCAAGUCUUUGGCAUUCAAUGCACGCUAUCUCCCAGCAGCUCUCCCCUAUCCCUGGCUGUACAGGCAUUGACCUCCUACAAGCCCACAACUUCAAUCUCCACUGCUUCCAAUCUCUCACAGAUUAUCAUGAUCCCUGCCUUCCCCAUAUGGGCUAUGGUGGUGUGUCUUCAAUCACUGGGAACUGGGAAGCAUGGAUACACCACUUGCUGUUAUCAGGCCCAGCUGCGCUCAUAUGUUAUUGAUUAUUCAGCUAGUUACUGUCACAUGCACCUGUGCUGUUACCGAUCUGCUCUGAUUGCUUCAGGGACAAAAAUUUUCGUUGUAUGUGAAACUGGCGCACAAAAUAUGGAGACUCUGCUGAAGGUGAUAUACGAGCUUUACACGGACUUUGUUCUGAAGAACCCGUUCUACGAGAUGGAGAUGCCGAUUCGGUGUGAGCUGUUUGAUCUCAACCUGGCUCAGGUGAUCCAGAAAGACCGGGUUGCUCUUUUGGGUCGGUAAAACAUGAACGCUGCAGUCCUAGUCCCAUCCUAUAUAUUGUAAUUUCUUUUCCUUUCUAUGAGACAUUCUCAUAUUUGCUCAGCUGGAAUUAAACUAUACUUUCUACUGGUGUAAUUUAUAGCUUCAAUAGUGUGUUGCUCACCUGUAAUCUUUUUGAUGUACCAGAAUUUAGGGAUUAGCAUACAGAAAAUGUAGCUGCAAAUAGUUCCUCCAUAUCAAUUUUUGCUCCUACA